rnacentral:rRNA from 1 species
GUGAUCCGGUGGUUCUGCGUGGAAGGGCCAUCGCUCAACGGAUAAAAGCUACCCUGGGGAUAACAGGCUUAUCCCCCCCAAGAGUCCACAUCGACGGGGAGGUUUGGCACCUCGAUGUCGGCUCAUCCCAUCCUGGGGCUGUAGUAGGUCCCAAGGGUUGGGCUGUUCGCCCAUUAAAGUGGUACGCGAGCUGGGUUCAGA